AACAGGGCUCUCUGCUUGUGGAAUCUUAGUUGGAAUUGUUUGGGGUGUUGGGGUUCUGGUAGUCUCGGGAUUACAGUUGCUUCGAUAAUGUACCAGGUGUGUACCGAAAACGCAAAAAAUUGGGUUUCGGCGAAAGUCGAAAAUGCAUUCUGUCGACCCCACAUGGGCGUGUGCUCGGCCGUGUGGGUGGCCAUGCUCAGUUUUCUGAUAGAGUUUUGGUAAAGCUAAAAUUCUGAAGUGGUUGUGAGUUAACGGAUGUAGUGGGAUAGCAAUCAAAGUGGUUUUUAUUUUAUUUUAUUUUUAGUUCUUUUUCAAAAUUCCUCUCUCUUUCCAGGAAAAACUGAAGUCAAUUUUGCUUUGCCGUUCUCUGCUCUUUUAUUCUUCUUUUCUUUUUGCUACUUCCUUCUAUUAUGUUUCGAUCUGUCAUCAAAUCUCUGUAUCUUGUUUUUCCAUUUUCCUUUGGUUGUUUGGUAAGUG
rnacentral:lncRNA from 1 species